rnacentral:lncRNA from 1 species
UGAGCUACAUCAUGGAGGAUCUGGGAUUAAUACCUGGAUAUAGAAUAAACAAAGUAAAAGAAAUAGAAGGUUAGCUUGAGCAGCAGUUGUAGGCAGAAUCAACAGUUAAAAGAGCAGUAGUGCACAGCUUUGAAUCAGUUAUGAACCAGAAAAACAAAAAUAGAUUUGAUUUUAAUUUGUUUCAACUAUCAACUACCCAAAUAUUGUUUUAACUUUAGAAUUCAACAGCAAUGGUCAAUGGAACAGUAUUUUUUGAAGAAACUCUCUGAAGUUCCAAAAAAAUUUCCUCUAUUCUAGGCUCUUUUCAG